UACGUAGGGUGCGAGCGUUGUCCGGAAUUAUUGGGCGUAAAGGGCUCGUAGGCGGUUUGUCGCGUCGGGAGUGAAAACCAUGGGCUUAACUCAUGGCUUGCUUUCGAUACGGGCAGACUAGAGGUAUGCAGGGGAGAACGGAAUUCCUGGUGUAGCGGUGAAAUGCGCAGAUAUCAGGAGGAACACCGGUGGCGAAGGCGGUUCUCUGGGACGGUACUGACGCUGAGACGCGAAAGCGUGGGGAGCGAACAGG
rnacentral:rRNA from 1 species